CUACGUGCCAGCAGCCGCGGUAAUACGGAGGGUGCGAGCGUUAAUCGGAAUAACUGGGCGUAAAGGGCACGCAGGCGGUGACUUAAGUGAGGUGUGAAAGCCCCGGGCUUAACCUGGGAAUUGCAUUUCAUACUGGGUCGCUAGAGUACUUUAGGGAGGGGUAGAAUUCCACGUGUAGCGGUGAAAUGCGUAGAGAUGUGGAGGAAUACCGAAGGCGAAGGCAGCCCCUUGGGAAUGUACUGACGCUCAUGUGCGAAAGCGUGGGGAGCAAACAGGAUUAGAUACCCUGGUAGUCCACGCUGUAAACGAUGUCGACUUGGAGGUUGUGCCCUUGAGGCGUGGCUUCCGGAGCUAACGCGUUAAGUCGACCGCCUGGGGAGUACGGCCGCAAGGUUAAAACUCAAAUGAAUUGACGGGGGCCCGCACAAGCGGUGGAGCAUGUGGUUUAAUUCGAUGCAACGCGAAGAACCUUACCUACUCUUGACAUCCAGAGAAUUCGCUAGA
rnacentral:rRNA from 1 species